rnacentral:misc_RNA from 1 species
CAGAAGGUUUACAAUACCUACAAACCACUGCGAACCGUUCCUUUAGCUGCCUCGGCGGGCAAUCCCAGGGCGGGAUUCAGGGCUCCUUCGGGGCGCCCGCCGGCGGUGCAAACUCUAGUUCUGUCUCUCAGCGGGCCUCUGAGUGAUUUGGAAAACCAUCA